AUAACAUUAGCGUUAUCAGCUUUUCUCCCUCCCUUAUUCUUCUGUAUCAUUUAAAUUUUAUCACGGCUUAAAGAUUAUAUACAUACCUAUCACAAUUCUACCUUUCUCAUGAUACAUAUUUCUUUUCCAACUUUACAAUUUUUGCGAGUUGCUAUCUAUUAUUUUGUCUCAUAUUGUCGACAGACAAGAUAGAAAUUAAUAGAAAUUAGAUUUUGCUUUAUCUAAAUACUAUUUGUCGAUCGGAACACUUUAUAUUUAUAUAAGAGAAAUAAGUUAUUACCGUUGCUUGCGAUUAACGCGUAUUGAAUGACUUAUAGAAUGGUAAAAUCGCGUUUUUAAUAAGUCACCGAUAGUCGUAAGUUUUACCCGUUAUAACGCAUCUUAGUCGCACAAGAACUACGCGUAACACGAUCAUAAAAUCUUUUUUCAUGAAAGGAUAAAAGACAAAAACUGGUCACUUUGAUGACCAGUCACGUGCUCAGACUACUUUAAGAAGUAACUCUACGCGACCCUUGCUCAAAAGUAUGUCAUAAUAAUGCUAAGCGUUGAGGUCAACAACUUUAUGUAGAAAGAGAAAAGAAUUAAAUUUGAAAAAUCAGUAAAACACUGUAUCAGUAAAAAACAUCUUUUUAUCUUAUCGCAAAAUUUCGAUCGAUUAUCGAUUUAAAACUAAAUUUAUUUAAGAAAACCUACAGCGAAACUACUCGAAAUACAUGCAUUGAAAGAAUUUUAAGAAAGGAAUAAAAUGGUUAAAUAAAUGAGCGAGAUAAAAAGUGGAGCAAAUGCGGCGGGAAUAGAGAUAUGGACAGAAAGAAGAGAGAUAGAUAGAUAGAUAGAUAGAUAGAUAGAUAGAGAGAGAGAGAGAGAGAGAGAGAGAGAGAGAGAAAGAACUGGAAGAAAAAGCAGAUUUAACUAUUACCACUCGCAAUAUCGCGUUGCAAAAAUUAUAUCCGACUCAAUGCUCACACGUAACUGAUACAAAAAUGAUCUCUCUUUGAAUAAUUCAAACUUCGUACUUAGACACGUUAAUAUAGUUAUUUGGUUAGUAAACUCGUGCUAAUAACAAUUGAUGUUGUCUGUACACGGUCAACGAGUAUAACCGUUUACAGAUAAUUUACACAUCAUGUUCUCUCCUAUUCAAUGAAAUAUCCGAUCGAGUUCUCAUUCACUUUUACCGCAAAUUUUCUGUUUUUUUAUGAUUCACUAAGUAUUAUAUAGUGGAAGGAUAUCAUAGGAUUCUAAGGGAUAAUAUUUUAUCAAAAGUAUGUCGUUCAAAAGAAUGUGCACCAUCAAAAGUUCUUGUUUUAAUCGUAUUUUGUAUCUCGAAAUUAGAUAUAUGUAUGUGUCAUUAUAAACUCAUAAUAUAUCUAUAAUUCUAUAUGCUUGUUUUUCACAAUAUAUAUAGGGUGGUUGGUAACUGGUGGUACAAGCGAAAGGGGGGUGAUUCUACGCGAAAAAAGAAGUCGAAAAUAUAGAAUAAAAAUUUUUCGUUUAAGACUUUGUUUUCGAGAAAACCGACUUUGAAUUUUCGCUGGUACGCGUGCACUUUAUCACGUCUUGUUAUAACGGAUCUCAUUAUAGAUCGUUGUCUCGAUGGAAAAAUUAAAAAAAAAAAAAAAUUUUUA